AUUGAACGCUGGCGGCGUGCCUAACACAUGCAAGUCGCACGCGAAAGGGAGCAAUCCCGAGUAGAGUGGCGGACGGGUGAGUAACGCGUAGGAAUCUACCUCGUAGUGGGGGAUAACCCGGCGAAAGCCGGGCUAAUACCGCAUACGACCUGAGGGUGAAAGCAGGGGAUCGCAAGACCUUGCGCUCUGAGAUGAGCCUGCGUCCGAUUAGCUAGUUGGUGAGGUAACGGCUCACCAAGGCGACGAUCGGUAACUGGUUUGAGAGAACGACCAGUCACACUGGGACUGAGACACGGCCCAGACUCCUACGGGAGGCAGCAGUGGGGAAUCUUGGACAAUGGGGGCAACCCUGAUCCAGCGACGCCGCGUGUGUGAAGAAGGCCUUCGGGUUGUAAAGCACUUUCGGCAGGGACAAACAAGACGGAGCUAACAUCUCCGUUCCUGAUGGUACCUGAAGAAGAAGCACCGGCUAACUCUGUGCCAGCCGCCGCCGUAACAC
rnacentral:rRNA from 1 species